rnacentral:lncRNA from 1 species
UUCAUCCUGCUCGCGGUGCCCCUCGGUCUCUUCUUCCUGCUCGGCGUCAGCACGUUGAUCUCCGCCCUGGUAUACCCUUAGUUGAUAUCGAUCGAUGCGUCACGCGUUGCUUCUCUACCUAUGCAGUACUAGUGCUAUAUCUGUUCUGAGCACUCGUUCUACCUAGCUAGCUAGGUGUCUAGCGACUGAUUAUGUAUGUGUGUUAAUUACGCGUAGCUUGCUACUUGUGUGAGAGACGAUGAUGCCAAGAACACUGGUGUGUGUGUGCGCGCGCGCGCAACUGUGUAAUGGCAACUACCUUAGCCAAAUUUCUCUCCAAAGAACUACCUUGGUCAAAUAAAAGCAUCCGGAGUAGAUUUUUAUGCAUAUCUUGGAAUUAGUUAACGAAUUUACAGAUAUAUGUGCUGAAAUUUGUGUGGUUAUAGGUGCCGGUAGUGCUACUACUCCCUUCACUACUUUUUGGCUUUUUUGCACUUCGUAUUUUAUUUUAUUUUUGCUAAAAUGCCAGAAUGUUGCACGCGUAUGCAGCGUCAGGAUAGUCUGGGCAAAAAUAACCCUCGGACCCGAUAAUGGAAAGUGCAGCAGCACGCACAUGGGAGUAUAUCAUUAUCAUUAUUCACUAUAUGCUUGUGCAAAAUAAAAGCAGACAAGGAAUGAAUACACGCGCAUGCAACAGUGAUGCGUUGACCAAGCGAUGGGAAUGGUGCAUAUAGCUACUAGACUUUUUUUUUGAAACAGAGGCAAAAGCUUUGCCUCAUCCAUUAAAUAAGAGAGAAUAUAGUUUGUUACAAGCAACCCGAUUACACGGCAUGGGAAUUACUCUCGUAACAUUAUGGACCCUAGUUUUUUUGCACCGGUGAUGAUCCAGAGGCUAGCCUCGGUCGUGAUGGAGGCAAGCAAUGUAGUCGGUGACGCGCUCUUCUGCUUGAACACUCUCGCGUUUCGCUCGUUCCAAAUAGUCCAUGAGAAAGUAUGGUGAGGGACCCUAGUGUACAAUAUAAUUUCUCAUUACAUUAUUACUAUUUUCCAAUUAAAUUCGCCAAUUUCUGUUCCAACUUAUUAAUCAUCACCACCACUUUGCUGCCUCACCUCAUAAGUCAAAAUAAUCAAGUUGAUGUUAAAACAUCAAUGGAUCCAGGUAACAAAGAAAAUCUAGUUGUGCACAUAUAUGUGUGUACUUUUCUAUGAUCUCCUUCCCCUUUGGUUUUCCAGAGUUUACAUGAACUGACCAAGGUUUCAGGCCAAAAAAAAGAAGUUGAGUUAUCUUGCUUUAGCAACUUCUUGCUUUAGGCAUACUACCAAGUAGCCCGCCUAGGCACGAACAUAUACUUGUGUUCCAGUGAUCUAUGUGAAUCGUAGCUAAGGUGUUGCCUCUUGCCGAUACAGAAGAGAGUAGUAAUAGCCAUGUGCCAGUGCCGGUACAUGUUUAUGCAAAAGUAGCUUGCAGGGGGUGGGUGAGGUUGCUGACUUUAUUUUUAACUUGGCCUGCAGUAAAAGAUGUUGGUUAUGUAGACACAUUUUGUUGCCUGAAAUUAUGUGUUACUUUCCCAAUAAACUCUGCCGAAAAAAAGGAGUGUGUUAGAAUGUUGUUGUUGCCUGAAUCUCUGUGUCACUUUGCUUGACCAUUUCCCUAAAAAAAAUCUACUGGUUGUUGGAAACUGUUUUUGUGUCAAUAAAACUUUGGUAUUUCUUUUUCUCGGAGAAGAUAAUUCCCGUAGCGCGAGAAUGGGAUUUCCACAAUGAUAGCCCCAACCUGUAAGUUCUGUUGCCUGAAACUAAAUAUGUGGACUAGCAUCAUUGAACAGAAUUUAAAUCCGACAAGUUUUAUUGCUUGUGACACUUAUGAACUCUCAACCGCCAUGUUUUUUGUGUCAUUGGGCUAGCUAUAGAUGGGAAUUUGCAACAAGAAAGGGUUGACAUCUUAACCUCCCUGGACUAGCUUAGCCUAUAUCACUAAGAACACGGUGAGCACUCAGAAUAGGCUCUGUAUUAGCUGAAAAACGAUUCACUUCAUUUCAAAUAAUUGAGACAUGCAGACAGUGGCCACUCGCCACUAGUGCGGAACCGAAGACACAUCUAUCACAUAUCCUUGGCCCGAACUGUGUGCGAUACAGCACACGUCACAAACAGUAGAAAAAUAACACAGAUCUGUCCGAAGAACUGUGUGCGAUAAGUCAAAAUAACACACACGAUUCUGCCGUGCAAGCCGUGUGCGUUGCCUGGUAAACAGUGUCUACGAACUAAUUGUUUGUGAUGAUGGGGAGCAUCGCAGACUUUGCGUAGUCUGUCUACCGUGUACGAAGUUCUGCAGACAGUUUAGCCAAAGGAUAUGCAUGGAUGGUGGUAAACACUGCACAUGUGUUUUUGAGUUGAUCGUGUGCGAUAUGGCUUGCUUUGUUUGUAGAAAAACAACUUUUUGUCUGCAGAACAACAACAUAUACUUAUUAAACAACAUUGCAUAAUUCAACUAAACAUUGCAUUGCACGUCUCAUUGCAUAAUUACAUAAACGAGAAAAGGAUCAUCAUCUAUCAUUCUUAGCAUGCUUGCCAUCAUUGCAGCUGUUAUUACACAAGCAAUUUUCGAAUUAGUGAACUUUUUAAAUUUUGAUGAAAUAUUUUCAAAUCCGCGAAGAAUAUCAAAUAUGUGAUUUUUUUUGAAUGUGUGAACAUUUCACAUUUUUUUCGAAUAUUUUUCAAAUUCAUGGAAAAAAUCAUCUUCGUGAACAUUUUUCAAUUGCGUGAACAGUUUUUCAAAUUCGUGAACAUUUCUUCUAUUCCCGAACAUCCUUUCUAUUUGCGAAAAUUUUGAAUUUUCAAACUUUUUUUCAAUUUCACACACAUUUUUGAACUUCGUGAACAUUUCUAAAAUUCUUGAACCUUUUAAAUUUCUCAAAUAUGAUUAUGAAUUCAUGCACUUUUAUUGAAUUCGUGAUUUUUUUUAAUUCAACACCAUAUUUUGAAUACCCAGUUAUAAUUCCAUAACAAAAAAACAAAUUCUUGAACAUUUUUUUAUUGACUUAGCAAAAGAAAAUUAAUCCGUGAACAUAUUUCUGAAUCAAGAACAAUUUUUUAAUACGUGGACGACAGAUAUAUUUUGUCAUGAAUAUUUUAAAAAUCGUGAGCUUUUUUAUCUUGUGAAUAUUUUUCCAAUUCAUGAUUUCUUUUUAAAUUCAUUAUUGAGAUUUGUGAACAUAUUUUAAAUUUUAGUAAAACAAACCGAAAUAGAGAAGACGAUAUAGAAAAAUCGGAAGAAAAAUGGCCGGCUCGCUGGAAGCCUAGUGCCCGUCAUGGCACGCUGAUUUUCAAGUUGAUGGAACUAGCAUAUUCACGUUUAUCUAUUUCUUUACUCCAUGUUUUUCUUCUAAUAAUAUUUUCCUUUUCAAAAUUCAAAUAUUUGAGCAGAAUUUCAAAAAUAUUUCUUUUUAGAAAAUUUGUUCACAAAUUUAAAAAAUCCUUUAUUUCUGAAUAACUGUUCGCAUUUUUUAAAAAUGUUCCUAUUUUUAAAUUUGUUUAAAAGUUCAAAAAUGUUUGGAAGUUCUGACAAAAUAUCGUUUGUUUCACAGAAACAGAAAUUAAAAAAAUGUUAGGGAAUUUAAAAAACUGUUUACAGUUUCAAAAUAGAUAUUCCCAUUUUUCAAAUUUUGUUCACAAAUUCGAAAAUUGUUCGAGAAUUUCAAAAACGUUCAUUGUUUCAAAAAUUGUUUCCAUUUUUAAAAAGAUGAUCCUGUUUUCUGAACCGUGUUCACAAAUACAAAAUUUGUUAUGAAUUUUAAAAUAUGUAAAGCUUUUUUCAAAAAUGGCUCUUCGUGGUGUUACAGCCCAAAGGUACCGCACAAUGUCGGUUGCCAGCCUAGGCCUGAGGACCUCUAAGUCGGUUCCACCCUGGGCUAUCAUGGUGGACCAUGGCGUUCUACACAAAAAAAAAAAC